rnacentral:sRNA from 1 species
UAUUUAAAAAAUAGUUUCUUUUUAAUAUGCAUCUCUUAUCAGACCGAUUGGGCUGUCCGAAUUGGAGUAGCUGGAAUCAUGUUGUGGUCCCUUGAUCAAGAUGAUUUUAGCGGAACGAUGUGCCUGCAAGGGACGUUUCCUCUGUUGAGCCAAAUCAUAUCAAUCACCGAAGGGAACAGAACUACACCACCCACAACCACGACAACCAAAGCAACAACCAAAGAAUCAACGUUCACGUCCAACACAGGAUGUCAGCCAGUAACCUUGAACCUGAACUUUGUCAUUGUGACACUUUUUCUGUCAUUUUUAGUCGGAACUGUAGUCUGAUGCUUAUAAUGUUGUGUUUGUUGAACUGUAAGAUGGGUAGAUACACAUUGUAACCUGUUGUUGC